CUAGGAAUCUUGGGAAUGGGCGAAAGCCUGACCCAGCAACGCCGCGUGGGCGAUGAAGGCCUUAGGGUCGUAAAGCCCUUUUGCGGGGGACGAUGAUGACGGUACCCCGCGAAUAAGCCACGGCUAACUACGUGCCAGCAGCCGCGGUAAUACGUAGGUGGCAAGCGUUGUCCGGAUUUACUGGGCGUAAAGGGCGCGCAGGCGGUUUGUUUAGUCUAGGGUGAAAGCUCCCGGCUCAACUGGGAGAGGUCCUUGGAUACUGACAGACUCGAGGGAGGCAGAGGAAAGUGGAAUUCCCGGUGUAGUGGUGAUAUGCGUAGAUAUCGGGAGGAACACCAGUGGCGAAGGCGGCUUUCUGGGCCUUACCUGACGCUGAGGCGCGAAAGCGUGGGGAGCGAACCGGAUUAGAUACCCGGGUAGUCCACGCCGUAAACGAUGGACACUAGGUGUGGAGGGUAUCGACCCCUCCGUGCCGCAGCUAACGCAAUAAGUGUCCCGCCUGGGGAGUACGGCCGCAAGGCUAAAAC
rnacentral:rRNA from 1 species